rnacentral:rRNA from 1 species
UACGGAGGGUGCAAGCGUUAUCCGGAUUCACUGGGUUUAAAGGGUGCGUAGGCGGGUUGGUAAGUCCGUGGUGAAAUCCCCAAGCUUAACUUGGGAACUGCCGUGGAUACUAUCAAUCUUGAAUAUCGUGGGGGUAAGCGGAAUAUGUCAUGUAGCGGUGAAAUGCUUAGAUAUGACAUAGAACACCAAUUGCGUAGGCAGCUUACUACACGAUCAUUGACGCUGAGGCACGAAAGCGUGGGGAGCAAACAGG